AUUUAGAAGGUUCUCUGGUGCACAGUGAGUGGCAAAUGUCAUUACUUCAACAGGGGACAGCAAAACAAUGGUUUCCUAUUUUUUUGACGUUUCUAAAUAUCACUGUGUCUGAACAUGACCCCUACAAUAUCUAUGGUCAUCUUGUCCUUUACAUGACCAGAGAAUGGAAGACUGAAAGGAUCUGUACAAACCAACCCCAUAGCCUAUGUAUAUGCACAUUGGUGUGUGCACCUGUGGAGGACAGAAGACAACCUUGACUGUUGUUCCUCAGGUACCACCUCUACCUUCCCAGCAUUGGGAUUCCAGCCAUGCAGACCUGAUACCAUCGAUACCAGCCCAGGAGCCAUGGAAGCCAGAGCUUUAACCCAUCCACUUCUGGGGCUCAGGAACCAGAGGAGUUAGUGAUUAGAUGCUGCUAUGGCAAUCUGUUCAUCUCGGCCCAGCAGGUUAAACGCAAAUCUCUGGAAGCACCAACAUAGCCGGAGAUGACUGUGCUCCUGGAACCUCCGAUGCAUCCAGACUCACACAAAGUCAACCACCCCAUCGAGGGGCCGCCUUUAAGAUGAGUUUCGGAUUUGCAGGUGAUACAGUAAGCUGAU
rnacentral:sRNA from 1 species